GCGCUGGUGGUGUAAUGGCGUCGAGCAUUCGCGCCCAGAGGUGCGGGUUCGAGUCCCGCCAGGCGCU
rnacentral:tRNA from 1 species